UGUUUUAUGACUAAUUAUAUAAAAUAAUCUCCUGCCCAGUGAUAUUAACGGCCGCGGUAUCCUAACCGUGCAAAGGUAGCAUAAUAAUUUGUCCAUUAAUUGUGGACUAGAAUGAAGGGGGAAACAAAAUAAGAUCUGUCCCAAUAGAAAACUAAUAAAUUAACAUAAAAGUGAAGAGGCUUUUAUAUAAAUAAAGGACAAGAAGACCCUAUAGAGCUUUAUCUUUAAAAUACAAUAUUUCAACAGAUUCGGUUGGGGCGACCUAGGAAAACUCAUCCUCUAAACUAAAGAUAAAUUCAUCAUACAAUGACCCUACAAAGAUCAACAAAUCAAGCUACCUUAGGGAUAACAGGCUAAUCCUACUAUAAAGUUCAUAUUAACAGUAGGGAUUGGCACCUCGAUGUUGGCUUAGAUUCCCUAUUUGGUGCAGAUGUCAAAUUAGGGGGUUUGUUCAACCCAUAAAUAUCU
rnacentral:rRNA from 1 species